rnacentral:rRNA from 1 species
CCUACGGGUGGCUGCAGUGGGGAAUCUUGCGCAAUGGACGAAAGUCUGACGCAGCGACGCCGCGUGGGCGACGAAGGCCUUCGGGUUGUAAAGCCCUGUGGGGCGGGACGAAAGACACGGGUUCGAACAGGACUCGUGGUUGACGGUACCGCCUUAGCAAGCACCGGCUAACUCUGUGCCAGCAGCCGCGGUAAGACAGAGGGUGCAAACGUUGCUCGGAAUUACUGGGCGUAAAGCGCGUGUAGGCGGUUUCGUAAGUCAGGUGUGAAAGCCCG